rnacentral:rRNA from 1 species
CACCAGGUCAGGACACGGUAAGGAUUGACGGACUGAAGGCUCUUUCUCGAUUCCGUGGAAAGUGGUGCAUGGCCGUUUUUGGUUGGUGGAUCGAUCCGUCUGGUUAAUUCCGUUAACGAACGAGACCUCGGCACUCCGAAUAGCGCGGCGGACGUCGCGGCCUCCGGGCCGUCUUCCGCACGAGCUUCUUAGAGGGACCGUCCCCCGCCGGGGAAGGAGGUGCGAGGCAACGACAGGUCUGUGAUGCCCUUAGAUGUUCUGGGCCGCACGCGCAUUACACUGACGCGUCCAACGGGUGACUCCCGACCCGAAGGGGCCGGGGAAUCCGCAAGGCGCGUCGUGAUGGGGAUUGAACGUUGCAAUUGUUGUUCACGAACGAGGAAUUCCUAGUAGGCGCGGGUCAUCAACCCCGCGCCGAUUACGUCCCUGCCCUUUGUACACACCGCCCG